CCUACGGGUGGCAGCAGUGGGGAAUAUUGCACAAUGCGCGAAAGCCUGAUGCAGCAACGCCGCGUGAGCGAUCAAGGCCUUCGGGUCGUAAAGCUCUGUCCUCAAGGAAGAUACUGACGGUACUUUAGGAGGCAGCCCCUGCUAACUAGGUGCCAGCAGCCGCGGUCAUACGUCGGGGGCUAUCGUUAUCCGGAAUUACUGGGUGAACAGGGUGCGUAGGUGGUUUCUUAAGUCAGAGGUGAAAGGCUACGGCUCAACCGUAGUAAGCCUGUGAAACUGGGGAACUUGAGUGCAGGAGAGGAGAGUGGAAUUCCUAGUGUAGCGGUGAAAUGCGUAGAUAUUAGGAGGAACACCAGUGGCGAAGGCGGCUUGCUGGACUGUAAAUGACGCUGAGGCUCGAAAGCGUGGGGAGCAAACAGGAUUGGAUACCCCUGUAGUC
rnacentral:rRNA from 1 species